CCUACGGGAGGCAGCAGUGAGGAAUUUUGCGCAAUGGGGGCAACCCUGACGCAGCAACGCCGCGUGAGUGAAGAAGGCCUUUGGGUCGUAAAGCUCUGUCAACAGGGAAGAAGUUACAAUUGUUUAACAGAUGGUUGUAUUGACGGUACCCUGAGGAGAAGCCCCGGC
rnacentral:rRNA from 1 species